rnacentral:rRNA from 1 species
AGAUUGAACGCUGGCGGCAGGCCUAACACAUGCAAGUCGAGCGGUAGAGAGGUGCUUGCACCUCUUGAGAGCGGCGGACGGGUGAGUAAUGCCUAGGAAUCUGCCUAGUGGUGGGGGAUAACGUUCGGAAACGGACGCUAAUACCGCAUACGUCCUACGGGAGAAAGCGGGGGACCUUCGGGCCUCGCGCCAUUAGAUGAGCCUAGGUCGGAUUAGCUAGUUGGUGAGGUAAUGGCUCACCAAGGCGACGAUCCGUAACUGGUCUGAGAGGAUGAUCAGUCACACUGGAACUGAGACACGGUCCAGACUCCUACGGGAGGCAGCAGUGGGGAAUAUUGGACAAUGGGCGAAAGCCUGAUCCAGCCAUGCCGCGUGUGUGAAGAAGGUCUUCGGAUUGUAAAGCACUUUAAGUUGGAGGAAGGUUGUAACUUAAUACGUUGCAACUUUGACGUUACCGACAGAAUAAGCACGCUAACUUCGCGCCAGCAGCCG